AUUGAACGCUGGCGGCAGGCCUAACACAUGCAAGUCGAGCGGAUGAAGGGAGCUUGCUCCUGGAUUCAGCGGCGGACGGGUGAGUAAUGCCUAGGAAUCUGCCUGGUAGUGGGGGAUAACGUCCGUAAACGGGCGCUAAUACCGCAUACGUCCUGAGGGAGAAAGUGGGGGAUCUUCGGACAUCACGCUAUCAGAUGAGCCUAGGUCGGAUUAGCUAGUUGGUGGGGUAAAGGCCUACCAAGGCGACGAUCCGUAACUGGUCUGAGAGGAUGAUCAGUCACACUGGAACUGAGACACGGUCCAGACUCCUACGGGAGGCAGCAGUGGGGAAUAUUGGACAAUGGGCGAAAGCCUGAUCCAGCCAUGCCGCGUGUGUGAAGAAGGUCUUCGGAUUGUAAAGCACUUUAAGUUGGGAGGAAGGGCAGUAAGUUAAUACCUUACUGUUUUGACGUUACCAACAGAAUAAGCACCGGCUAACUUCGU
rnacentral:rRNA from 1 species